AUUACAAUUCGCGUGCAAUAGCAGGAUGCAAAAACUUGCAAGAAAUCAAGGCAAGCAGAACUUUAUCAACUGGUGGUCACAAUAGUUGUCAACACAGCUAAGAGGAAGUACACCAAAUCUACAAUAACAUGUGAAUAAGCACCAGGUGGUACUUGAACCUAUGUACUUUCCCACAGCCACCAGUUGUUAUAAGUAAACAAUCAGCUUGUAUUGUACGACUAGAAAAACAUUUGCAAUGUGAAAAAUUGCUAGGAUUGGCCAGGGGAAUCAUCAGAAAGCAUGAAAACAAGAAAUCAGAUGAGAGCAUAACUCCAAUCCGUUACUGUGUUCUGCAUCACAAUGUUUAAUCUCGAGAUGUACGUUUGGCCGAACGAGCAUCGAGGCAUAAAAGUAGUGUGGAAAUCGAUGUAGAGCUCACAAUUAAAACUGAAAAUCGACGAAAGAAGAAGAUUAGCAUACGUAUACAAGGUCACUUUUCCUUUACCUCGUGAAAACUGUAUCAGAAUUAAGGACAUCUGCAAAAUCACAGCUGUACACCCGUCUGGAUCUGAUACGACUUCAUAUGGACAUUUGGAACAGGGGGAGGGUCCAUAUUGACUAAUUACUACCUACUAGAAAGUGAGAGUUGACCGGGAAAUUUGUGUAAUUAAUUGGUGAUAACUUUGUUUAAAGGUAUGCAUGUUCAUUGCAUAAUUGAGGCAUAAUUAUCAUUGUACGCACAUUUACACCCUACCAAAAGAUACAGCUAGUGAUGGAGAAGGUGCUCACUUUUGGAGGCCACCAUUGUCUAACGGCUUGCAGUCAGACCUUGAAACCAGAGCUGUACAUAGUUUACUAGUUGUAGAUUACGGUCAUGCAUUGUAGCGAGCCUUCUGUUGAUAGAGAGAGAGAGUUCGAAGAAUCGUGGCUAUGUUCGAGCUAAAUCUGUUCCAAUAGUUAGUGUUUGGCCUUGUCACUCCGCCGAGGAAGCUUUUUGUUGGCCGUGAGUUCGGACUUGAAUAGAGCCUUACCUAGUCUAUACCUAGGUACUAUCAGCUUAGUGCUCUGAGCCGCUGUCCUCGAGAACAAGCGUUCGAAAAUAGAACAUGUUUGAUAAUCAGUUGUUUACUCUAGCUAAGGCUGUGUAACUAAAUAGUGUUCUGUGUCCCAAAUGGCCUCAAGUAUGAGAUGAUUGAUGUUUAGCAGCAGAACUGCUCGUGGACUUCUUACAGACAGCAAAACAAUUCUCAUGAAUUAUUCAUGUUUAGCCCUCGUGUUAAAAAGUAAGCCUCGAUUAACACCGCGGAGAUACACGGAUGGUACUUCGAGGGUACUUCAGUUUCUCCUACUCUUAUCUAUGGUGUAGCUAGCCAGUUGUGGCCCAAGAGUGUCUGUGUCUUGUGUCUUGUUUGAGCUAGACAGUGUGCCCAUGCGCAUUAAUUCACGUAAAACUUGGUAAAGGGUCACGAGUACAAAAAACGAAUAUCGUGCCAGUCCAUGACAGACAGACAGACAGACAAAAUCUCAAUGUUGCACACUAGGUAAGGGGCUCGCUUCACUGCCCCAAUAAUUUCAUAGCUUUUAUACACUCAGAGCUCUAGCUACAUUUAGAUAUAGCUGACUCCAAUGAAUGCAUUCAUCAUAAUUAUGAAUAAACACCUAUAUUACUUUCCCACAAGUAUAAUAAUUAUAAGCAAGUAUAUAACGGUAGGCAAUCUGGAUCAUCAGAAAUGCAACAAGCCUCGAGCAUCAAUCAAACAAACAUUUGGCCCCGUAACCUGCCGAAAUUUGGUCAAUGUGUAAUCUUGAGGCAUUAACACGCAAUACCUUAAAAGGAAACUUUUAUGACAUACAUAGUUAACACCGGAUGAAGAAUCCUUAUUAAAGCAUCAAAAUGGUCCAAUCCCCUCCAGUAACGGUUAACUGUACUUUAGACCAAAGCACACACACGCAGCGCCAGAAGCCUGGCGCACCAAUAAAAAUGGUCCAAUCCCUUCUCGUAAUUUGAUUAAAUGUAGACUAGGUCAUAGUAUUAGCAGCCAGAAGCCUGAGGCAUCAAUUAAAAUGGUCCAAUCCCUUAUUGUAAUUUAGUUAGUGCUGCUGAUCACAUGAUCUCCAGCAAAUUAAAAGUAAUCGGGUGACCAUGUUUGAAGCAUGUGAAAUAAUCCACAUGCACACUUAAGUGUGACUUUUUUCAUGAAAAUGAAAAAUAGAUGGAUUCAAAUGUAUAGCUGGGUACAAAACUGGUUCAACAGGUCAAGCUGUACAAAUGGCAGGCUGUACAUGCACAAGGCUAGAGAUCACCUGACAGCACUAACCUUUAGAACACAUUUAGCCAAAAUCACGUGUUUUAAUGCUGGUGCCCUCGAAUGGACUCUCGGUUACGUAGUGCACUCGGCGCACCACGUUAACCUUGAGUCCAUCCUCGGCACACAUGCAGAUUAAAACACUUAAUCUUGGCUAGGUGUUUUCUACUUAAAUGUACACUAGGCCAUGGAUAGCAAUAGCAGCCAGAAGCCUGAGGCAUCAAUUAUUAUGGUCCCUCAAAAAUGUACACUAGGCGCCAUAGCAAUAGCAGCCAGAAGCCUAAGGCAUCAAGUAUUAUGGUCCCUCCCUUCUCGUAUUUGGUUAAAAAUGUACACUAUAGGCGCCAUAGCAAUAGCAGCCAGAAAUCUAAGGCAUCAAUUACAAUGGCCCAAUCUUUCUUGUUAAAUGCACACUAAGCCAUAACAUUUGCAGCCAGAAGCCUGAGGUAUGCAUCAAUGGUCCAAUCCCCUCCAAUAAUGUAUACAGAAACCUCAGGUAUCAAUCAAAAUGGUUCUUUUCUCUAGCAAUAAUUAUUAUUUGUUCAACUGCAUGGCUUAUAAUGUAGUCUAGGACAAGCCAGAAGCCUGAAGCAUCAAUCAAUGGUCCAAUCACUUGUUGUAAUUCAGUAAACUCCACACAUUCAGCCACCCACACACAGCAAACGUGUAUAUAAACAAAAAAACAAGCAAUCUAAAUCAACAAGUGCUAAAAAGCCUCAGCCCUACAUGUACAUCUGCAUCAAUCAUCAUAAAAAAAAAAAAACACUCUCAAGCAACUACAAUUGCAGCAUACGACAUGAAGAGGCUUGGCUGUUUGCUACUGUUCUGCCUUGUACUUGGAGGCUACUCCCUCCAACCGAAAAAGGAUGAUCAAUUUGAGAUGAACGAGGAGGGUCCAGCUAUCGUGAAAAGAGAUGCAGCAGUAGACACCGUCACCAUGGUCAUGGAAUGCAAUAAAGUGACAGUUGACAAUAUCACAAGCAUACAGUGCACAGAAGAUAGUGGAACAACAUUGGGGGCUGAGAAUGAUUUCUGCAAUAACACCAAUGGAACCAUAAAAGUUGUAUGGAAUUUGUAGUCUGCACUGAGAUUUUAAGAGAGAAAGUGGUACCCAUAGUUGCAGAAGUUAAAAUCGAAAUUGAGAUUACUUUUCCGAGUGGAAUAAAAAUAAAAAUAAUUAUUUGUUUCAAAGUCAUACCAAAAUGCUACACGAAAGUGAAAUUUCGAUUUCUCUCAGGUGUCUCAGAUAUCAAACCUGAAUAUAUCGGCAAUUCGGUCUUAAAACAUGUUAGUGGGUCUGUUAUAGUUGAGAGUGCCACGCUGAAAAGUUUCGCUUGCGUCAACAACAUGUUAAAAAUGUUUGAGCAUGAAAAGGAACCAAGUUCGUUUAGGCUGACCCCAAACCAGAAAGAAUACUGCUUUUGAGUAAAAUCUACUACAGAACAUAUUGUAGCUAUUGAAUAGUUUAAUAAUGAACUCUACUAUACAUGUGUGUAUUUGUACUGCUGAAAUUUUCUAGAAACUAUACUUGUACAUGUAUUGUAAAAACAUUUUGAAAGCAA